rnacentral:rRNA from 1 species
ACUCCUACGGGAGGCAGCAGUAGGGGAACCUUCCACAAUGGGCGCAAGCCUGAUGGAGCAACACCGCGUGAGUGAAGAAGGGUUUCGGCUCGUAAAGCUCUGUUGUUAAAGAAGAACACGUAUGAGAGUAACUGUUCAUACGUUGACGGUAUUUAACCAGAAAGUCACGGCUAACUACGUGCCAGCAGCCGCGGUAAUACGUAGGUGGCAAGCGUUAUCCGGAUUUAUUGGGGCGUAAAGAGAGUGCAGGCGGUUUUCUAAGUCUGAUGUGAAAGCCUUCGGCUUAACCGGAGAAGUGCAUCGGAAACUGGAUAACUUGAGUGCAGAAGAGGGUAGUGGAACUCCAUGUGUAGCGGUGGAAUGCGUAGAUAUAUGGAAGAACACCAGUGGCGAAGGCGGCUACUGGUCUGCAACUGACGCUGAGACUCGAAAGCAUGGGUAGCGAACAGGAUUAGAUACCCUGGUAGGAUAGCG